CUAUAUAAAUAAAGUUUAUAAAUUUGGACAGACAGGAUUAGCAUGGCCCCUGCCAGAGGAUGACAUUUUGAUCUAACUAAAUGUCCCUUUGCCUU
rnacentral:snRNA from 1 species